rnacentral:rRNA from 1 species
GACGAACGCUGGCGGCGUGCUUAACACAUGCAAGUCGAACGAAGAGCGAUGGAAGCUUGCUUCUAUCAAUCUUAGUGGCGAACGGGUGAGUAACGCGUAAUCAACCUGCCCUUCAGAGGGGGACAACAGUUGGAAACGACUGCUAAUACCGCAUACGAUCUAAUCUCGGCAUCGAGGAAAGAUGAAAGGUGGCCUCUAUUUAUAAGCUAUCACUGAAGGAGGGGAUUGCGUCUGAUUAGCUAGUUGGAGGGGUAACGGCCCACCAAGGCGAUGAUCAGUAGCCGGUCUGAGAGGAUGAACGGCCACAUUGGGACUGGGACACGGCCCAGACUCCUACGGGAGGCAGCAGUGGGGAAUCUUCCGCAAUGGACGAAAGUCUGACGGAGCAACGCCGCGUGAGUGAUGACGGCCUUCGGGUUGUAAAGCUCUGUUAAUCGGGACGAAAGGCCUUCUUGCGAACAGUUAGAAGGAUUGACGGUACCGGAAUAGAAAGCCACGGCUAACUACGUG